UACAGAGGGUGCGAGCGUUAAUCGGAAUUACUGGGCGUAACGCGUGCGCAGGCGGUUUUGUAAGCCAGAUGUGAAAUCCCCGGGCUUAACCUGGGAAUGGCAUUUGGGACUGCAAGGCUCGAGUGCGGCAGAGGAGACUGGAAUUCCUGGUGUAGCAGUGAAAUGCGUAGAUAUCAGGAGGAACACCGAUGGCGAAGGCAGGUCUCUGGGCUGACACUGACGCUCAUGCACGAAAGCGUGGGGAGCAAACAGG
rnacentral:rRNA from 1 species